rnacentral:rRNA from 2 species
AGCCGAGCGAUAAAACUUUAACAGAACCCUUCGGGGCGAAGAUAAAGUGGAUUAGCGGCGGACGGGUGAGUAACACGUGAGUAACCUGCCUUAGACAUUGGGAUAGCCUCGGGAAACCGGGAUUAAUACCAAAUAAAAUCAUAAUGACACAUGUCAUAACGAUCAAAACUCCGGUGGUCUAAGAUGGACUCGCGUCCCAUUAGCUAGUUGGUAGAGUAAAAGCCUACCAAGGCGACGAUGGGUAGCCGGCCUGAGAGGGUGAACGGCCACAUUGGAACUGAGAAACGGUCCAAACUUCUACGGGAGGCAGCAGUGGGGAAUAUUGCACAAUGGAGGGAACUCUGAUGCAGCGACGCCGCGUGAACGAAGAAGGCUUUCGAGUCGUAAAGUUCUUUUAUAUGGGAAGAUAAUGACGGUACCAUAAGAAAAAGCCCCGGCUAACUACGUGCCAGCAGCCGCGGUAAUACGUAGGGGGCUAGCGUUGUCCGGAAUCACUGGGCGUAAAGGGUUCGCAGGCGGAAAUGCAAGUCAGAUGUAAAAGGCAGUAGCUUAACUACUGUAAGCAUUUGAAACUGCAUAUCUUGAGAAGAGUAGAGGUAAGUGGAAUUUUUAGUGUAGCGGUGAAAUGCGUAGAUAUUAAAAAGAAUACCGGUGGCGAAGGCGACUUACUGGGCUCAUUCUGACGCUGAGGAACGAAAGCG